rnacentral:tRNA from 1 species
AGUUAAUUAGCUUAUUAAGUAUUUAUUUUGAAAGUAAAGGAAAGAGACAGUCUCUAUUAACUU